ACCACCGGAGCUGCCAGCAGCCCUACUCACGCUUCCUGUGUUUCCACACGAGCCUAACUCUCCGUCCUGCCCCGCCCCGCAUGCCGAGCAGGCCAUCCUUUGGAAGCAGGCGAUCCUGCCCCUGUGACCCUGCUGCUCCGUGAUCGCUUAUCCCUGAGCUGGUCCCACACGGGAUCAGCAGCUCCUUGAGCCUGGCCUGUCUGUGCUAAGCUGAAAAGAAGUGAGAUGUGUGGUUGGGCCCCCAGAGGCAGCCUGGCAGCCAGCUGCACAGAGGGCUCCCCACAUUCUGCUACUGUUCCGAGUCCUGCUCUGCACUGGCCACAGACAGACGUGCGGUGGAGAGAAGACAGGGCCCCCUCCCCAGACGGCUGGGGCCUGCUCUCAGGGGUGGCCGGCAUGAUCAGAUGGUGCUUUCUGCCCCCCGAGGAACAGAGCCCCCCUGUCUGGGAGAUAAACCACAUCCCUACUUAUGCUGUUCAGUCAAGAAGCAGCUCCUGCCCCUCUGUGACAGGGACGCGCAGUGGGACUGCAGGCCACGACGGGGUGGGGAAGUACUCUUUUGCUCUGUGGAGGAGAAAUCAGGCUGAUGAUGUGUUUUGAGAACCCGGAGGGAUUGUGACUCACAAGGUGAGUAAGAAUUCUGUGCUUACAGCGUGGGCCUGGGUUCGGCCAGUGGGGCUGCAUGACGGGCGUUCCCAAGGAGGAUGCCCAGCUGCUGUGAACCCAAGAACCUCUGCACGGAGACGUCUCCUGAGAGUUCUUAGCCAGCCGAGAGAGGGUAGUGCACCUGCUGGGGCGGCUGGCCUUCUGAACUGGACAGCAGUGACAACACGGAACUGUUUGCCAUGGGAGCACAGGGCCGGUUAUAAAAUCCCCCAGGAGAGGACUUGCCGUGAGGAUGCCCCCAUGUGACAUAGAUGAGACAGUGGUUCACUUCCUCAUGACCCCCAGCACACUCACGAUGACCGCUUGCACCUGUGCUGAGGCAGACCCGGCCAUCCCCUGCCACCGUCUCAGGUCGAGCAGCUGAGCGGGAGCUGUGUGGCUCCCCAAAACCAGCUAGAUGUGGGGAAGUCAGCUCCGAUCAGCUGACCGGCUGAGGCUCCUCUGAGCGUGGAUGCCUGUUGGUGGGGUGCCCAUCCGAGGCCUGCCUGCUUCUCCCCAGCAAAGUCCAAACCCGCCACCUUGACGACUCCGUGCACACGGGGCACAGCGCUACUGCAGCCACCAGAACAAAAGCUGUCCCAACCUGUUUGGUGCUUGGCUGUGACAUCACAUGCGUGUUUACACGCAAAUCCAAUGAAUUUGUCAGCAGGAGAAAUAACUGAAGAUGACGGAAUGUCUCAUAAUGUCUCAUUAAAAUUUUCACGAACAAUCUACCUAUAACCACUAAGAGCUAGUAAAUUAAAUAGAUAUGAGAUAAAAGUCUCCGAACAUACUUUUCAAGAAUAAUUACAUUUUAUGCUCUACAUGGAGUAUUUGUGACCUCAGACUAACUUGGAGAUUUCCCAGAAGGUCCCUGGCCGAAGAAGAGAUGUCGAGCCAAGCACACCUACGCAGCAUGUCGCUUCGUGAGGAAGCGCUGUCGAGCAGGAGGUGAUGUAGCCGCCCUGGGUUACGUGGGCUUGGAUGCUCGUUACCAGCCUAGGAACCCAGAAGCUGUCUGAGCUUCGUAGAGCUUUGUCAGUACCCAGCUUGUCCACUUACGAUCUUCAUUUGCUGACCGCCACAGCAAUAACUACAUUUCCUUAUCAAAUGCACUCUUAUCAUAUCUUUAAUCAUAGCCAUUUAAAAAUAGCCUUUUUGCCAUUUGCAGCAACUGCUUUGCUCUGAUGUUUUGGCAAAGGUGCCUCAUCUUUGCAGAACAAGACUGGACUUGAGCCUCUCUGCAGGGGCCACACCAGGUCCCACCACCACUCAGGGGGCAGCCAAGCCGGGGACUUGCACCUUAGGUCCAGGUCUCACAAUUAGAAGGGCUCCUUGAAACACUGGGAACUCUCACCAGCUACAGACCUCGAAUUAAAACUGACUAGAGAGGUCACGGCUCUCCCAAGGUCACAGAUGCGGACCUUCAUCCUCAACGUGAAGCCUUUAUUCCUCCCUUUGCUUUCUUGCUAUUUUAUUUUUCUGUCUGUUAAUGCAAGGAAGACAAAGCUCCCUGAGUCUGGUAGCCAUCGCUGAGUCCCCCACCAGGGCCGUUGCUGCGUGACAGAGGUCCCUAGGCUUUCUUGCGUAGUUGGUUUUAGAUAACAGGUUGCUUUAAAGUCCGUAUCAGAUCAGUCCACCUGCUGUCCCCGGAUCCAGCCGCUAGUGUCCUAGCAAGCGCAAGAAAUUGACAGACUAGCCACUUGGCCAAACCAGGCUGAUGCCCCUUUGGGCACAGUCUUCAAUUUAUCUGAUACCAGUUGUGUGUCUGUAUCCCUCUUGUGGCCGUCGCUGUGGCCUCGCGUGCGCUGUGUUCUCUCCGGGUCUGAAGCCGGAGUUCCCGACCUUGGCAGGACAGCACAAGGUCUCAUGCACGUAGAGAAGCAGAAACCAGUGAACAGCCCAGCAGCUAUUCAGACCUGGCCUCGUAUCCUAUGAGUCUCACCAGAAGACCAGAGCCACUCAACUCGGAUGCACCCUAGAGUGGCGCUAGUGCUAAAAUCUCGGUCAGCCCCUCACGUAUGGAAGAUAAGAGGAGACAGAGAUUGUUAACUUUAUUCCUCAAGGAGGCCAGGUGGGCGCAGGGCUGCCAACCGCUUUUGGUCUGUUGCUGCCCAAUUGAAAUCAAUGUUGCUCAAAUCAACUCGUAAAAUGGUUCCUAUGCCUCAGUUUACCUUGUGUCUUCCUCACAUGGCUCUUCAGGUUCUCCACCUCUGGCAGAUGCUUGAUAAAUCCAGACGGUGGGGAGGAAUAACUUAUCCACCUUAUACAACUUCCAGUUUUAUUAUGCAGAUUUGCUAAAGUUGACAUUGUUCAAUCGCCCAGAGGGAAGGAGGAGAGGUCUGAAUUUCCAGCUCUCCUUCAUAAAAAUGAUGCUUGACCUUGGAUCGUGUAGGGGAGAAAGAAAUUUCUUCCUUUACCCUCCUAAGCUCUCAGCUGGAAAUCCCGAGACAGGUUUACAAGGGAAAACCAAGCACGUGUGCAUGGGAGACACCCAGGGAGAGCGGCUCAGAGCUCGGGCUUAACCACCAUCAUUAGCUAAAGACAAGAGGAAGAUGGGGUGGGGCGAGCAGUCGUGGGCAGUGGCCAGGAGCCAACGCGGUGAGGCUGUUGUCUUCUCCACUGACAAGAUCCUUGUGACUGCGUGUCCUCUCUUCCUAAUGCAGGAGGGAGACAGCCCCACAGAUGGAGAUCUCCUUUACAAAUAUAAUUGUCCCCUACAAACAGGCAACUUCUCUGUUUCAGAGUUUCCCCGUAGCUGCUGUUUCGCAAAAUAAUCCUUGUGCCAAAGAGGCAUUUUUGGGGUGGUGUGUUGUGCAGCUGUUCAGUGGGGACUUUCUGGUACCUGUGUCCCCUGCAAGCUCCAGCCCUCGUUUGGGGUCCAGACUCACCCUGCACACAGGAGGCCCCGCCAGCCCCAUCCACCCGCUGCACAGAAGCAUGGGCCUGGGCAGGUCCCCACACAUGCCCGGUCUGGGAGUCCAGGUCCCCAGGCACUCCGGGCCUUGCAGUUUGUUCUCCCGGGAGCUGGUGUGACCCCAACUGCGUGCUCCACAAACACAACUGCUCAUGGUCUGCAAACCAAGCCUGCCUCAGGCUUUCUUGACUCUCUUUAAGACUGGAAUGAUUGUCAUUCCCAAACGGCAGGACCAAACCUGUGGGGAGCUCCUCCUUGCCUGGUUAGGCACAUGAAGACUUUUGAGGAGAAACCUCAAUCAAAGCAGGGAAUAAAGCUUUGAAUGGCACAGUUUUGUUUGGAUGUAAGGGUGCCCCCUGCCUUCGCUGGGGACAGCAAUUAGGAUGCGACCAUCAUGCAUUUAGCGCUUUCCCCGUAGAGCACACAGCUUUCAUUCUCAUCAGCAGGUAGGAGUCUGUCCCCGUCCUGGCUCCAUACUCUGCAAGUCCUGCAAGGGCACCGUCCGUCGGCAUGAAGGGGCCCAUGCGGGCGGCCACAAGGCUGCUCCCCCAGGCAGGAGAUUAUUCUGCUGAGGGUGGGACCCGGUUCUCUGCUUCUCAACAUCAAAUACGCAGCUGUCUCUGUAGCUUCCAAGACAGAGGAGCUGGAUUUGCAGACCCCAAACUAGUGGGUGGCCAGGAAAGGCCAGGGCAGGAGCUGAAGGACAUGGCCACUGGGGUUCGUCCAGUGCAAACGUCCAGUGCGCAGCUUUCUCGAGCUCACGACGGCCUCUGUUUUCUUGGACUUGUCUGAGAACGUGUUUUAUUCCACGACUUCACCAUAAAUUGUGUGUUGCCGGGUAUUAGUUUUA